AACGUAGGAGCCUAGCGUUAUCCGAAUUCACUGGGCGUAAAGCGCGUGCAGGCGGUUCGGUAAGUUGGAUGUGAAAUCUCCUGGCUCAACUGGGAGAGGACGUUCAAGACUGUCGGACUAGAGGACGGUAGAGGAAGGUAGAAUUCCCGGUGUAGUGGUGAAAUGCGUAGAUAUCGGGAGGAAUACCAGUGGCGAAGGCGGCCUUCUGGGCCGUUCCUGACGCUCAGACGCGAAAAGCUAGGGGAGCAAACGGGG
rnacentral:rRNA from 1 species